rnacentral:tRNA from 1 species
GGUGGGCAUGGGAUGUCUAUAGGCAGUGCUGUGACUGACUGAAAGAUUUCCAGGCACCUGCUGAUGCUACACCUUCCCCUGGCCACCAGCACAGGGCGCUGACACUUCGGGCACGAUUUGUGCACGAUUGCCCCAGGCUGUCAGGUACGAACUACUACCCCAGCGCCUCGGGCUCGCACAGCAGCCGGCCAUCGUCCCAGAACUGUAAGAGCAGAAGGCGAGGGUCGGAGAGAGUCUUAAAACAAAAGAGAGUUUUCCCUGACCGGGAAUCGAACCCGGGCCGCGGCGGUGAGAGCGCCGAAUCCUAACCACUAGACCACCAGGGAUCCUUGAAGCCCUACGUACACAUCUUUGUAAAGAAGCAGUGAUAGUGCACUCUCCCUCCUACGAUUACCUUGUGCCGCUGCUUUCUUCUUGUGCUCCUACCUUCCAGGCAGUACCAAGUCCUAGAAGCAGAGAAGUGCAUCAGUGAAACUGACAGCAAUUCAGCCUCCUGCCAGCACAGAAGCAGCCAGUGCCUGUGCCUGCAUCCUUGAGAUGGUAGCUGGAGAAGAAUGAUCUUCCCAAAGGCACCAGGAAAGGAAUGUCAGAGGCCGAUGUUUCUUUUCACCUAACGCUGGUGUGCCUGUGAAACCAACAGGCGUGAAAGAAAGGUUGGAACAUGACCAAUGCUGAGAGAAGUGGUAAAGCUCUCUGUCCAGCACCUGCCUUGUGCCCUCUGUGUCUCAGCGGGUGCCCAGUUCAGCAGCAGCAGUCGUGGUCCUUGGCUCAUCUGGCAGAAGAAAUUCAGUGUCAUCACCCAAAAAGCAGCUGACUGGACUUGCAGUGGGCACAGAUGGCCAAGAGAAAAGCUAUCAAGUCCACUGAAUGUUCUAAAAAUAGUCAGAUGCUUCACUGGUUUCUGCAUUGCUGUGCUGUUGGAGGUACUGUUGUUCACAUGCACAGUUUUGGAAAGUAAUGCCCAUGACUAAAGGAUUGCUUGUUGGUGCUUUAUGGCAGCAGACAGGAUUUCUGGGUGCUUACUCCUGAGCACAGCAAGCAGGACUUUUUCUUGUUUCGUGAAAAUGUGAACUACUUAAACUGCAAGUAGGAAGGUACAUCAUUCUUCAUGGAUGAGAAGGGAAGGAAAAGGGAGAAAAAAUAAUUUUGAGAAAUUGGUAAAUUUAUCAGUCUUUAAAGAGUGCUCUAUUCACACACUAAGUUACUUUUAAUCUUCUGUUCCCUUUUUUUAUCCCUGCACUUAGAGCAUCUUCUGCUGCUACUUUGAAUGUACCAGGGCAGGAGGCUGCUGUCCUGCAGUGCCAGGUUGCAGGGAGGACAGCAGGACCUGGAAGCGUAGCAGUUUCUGGAGGUCUUGAGAGUGUGGUGACAGUAGAAGGGGUGUGGAUAUCCAUGGUCAGGAGUUCAGUCUGUACCUGUAAUUAUAACAUUAAAAAACAAAUUUUUUUUUUUGGCCUCGUUGGAGCAUUCCCAUUCUAAUUACAAAUUUUCAGUAAACUCUCCAGAAUUCCCUGGCAGCAACACUAGAGAGACACAGCAAGUAUCCAGAAAUGAGUAAAUAUAAAUAAAAUAUUCAGAGCAGUAGGGCUAAAUUCGGGA